CACGUAGGCGGGUUCUUAAGUCAGGGGUGAAAUCCUGGAGCUCAACUCCAGAACUGCCUUUGAUACUGAGGACCUCGAGUUCGGGAGAGGUGAGUGGAACUGCGAGUGUAGAGGUGAAAUUCGUAGAUAUUCGCAAGAACACCAGUGGCGAAGGCGGCUCACUGGCCCGAUACUGACGCUGAGGUGCGAAAGCGUGGGGAGCAAACA
rnacentral:rRNA from 1 species